UUGUUUUGUACAACAAUAACCUAUCGAAGUGAAGUGCUUCAUAGCAGUGUAUUGCUGAUACUGAAAGGUUGUUUCACCAUAUUUUUUUCGUAGUGGGGAUAGAGUAUCGUGUGGUACCGUUUCUACGUGUUUUCAACCAAAUGAUCUAGACACCUAACCUAACUGGUUCUAAAUAUGAGCCAAUAUUUAGAUCACUUUUUUACGUUUAUAUUUCAGAAUGCUCAAAACUACUUUAAAUCACAUUCGAAAGGGAAGACGAAAGAAAAGGACAUGAGAAAUGACGUUAUAGUCGCGUGGGGAAAAAGGAUGGACAUUGCAGGAAUAUUAAAAUCUCGUGGAAGACGAUAGCGAUCUCAAAGUUAAUCAAAGGAGGAUGCGAGUUGCAUCAUUUUUAGACUUUUUGAAAGACAUAUGAAAGGAGAAACUGAAGAAUCCAAAAACGUUUCUCUUGCUAUAUGCGAGCACAUAGUAGUACAGGUGUAGAGACAGAAACAUACGUUUGUGAUUAUUGUAAAUAAAUCAUUAAUAUCCAUUUUAA